AAUUUUGGACAAUGGGGGCAACCCUGAUCCAGCCAUUCCGCGUGAGUGAAGAAGGCCUUCGGGUUGUAAACCUCUUUUCUCAGGGAAGAUCCAAGACGGUACCUGAGGAAUAAGCCACGGCUAACUACGUGCCAGCAGCCGCGGUAAUACGUAGGUGGCAAGCGUUGUCCGGAUUUACUGGGCGUAAAGAGCGCGCAGGCGGCUGGGUCAGUCCGAUGUGAAAGCUUCCGGCUUAACUGGAAAAUUGCAUCGGAAACUGCUCGGCUUGAAGGUGGGAGAGGGUAGCGGAAUUCCCGGUGUAGUGGUGAAAUGCGUAGAUAUCGGGAGGAACACCAGUGGCGAAGGCGGCUACCUGGCCCAUUCUUGACGCUGAGGCGCGAAAGCUAGGGGAGCAA
rnacentral:rRNA from 1 species